GAGCUCAAGUGAUCUGUGUGCCUCAGCUUCCCAAAGUACUGUGUUUACAGCCGUGUACCACUGCACCAGGCCUUUAGUGCCUUCUUGAAGGUCACACACAUCAUCAUAUGGAAAUUAACUGGAACUAUGUGUACUAGGUUUGUAGCAGCUGAUACGUCAUGCUCAUAAAUUAAAUAUUUGUUGAAUGGAUUACAUUUAAUCAGCUCAUUUUUUGCAUAGAAUUAAUAAAAGAAAUGUAUCCAAUCUAUCUACUAGUCCAGUAACUUUCCACAGGCAAUAGUGCAGUUUGUCUUAAGUCAGGGAUACUUUGUGUGAAGCCAACAAAUCAAAACAUGUAAAUGACUUCAAGCAGUAUUCUCAUCAUUCCUGGGAAAACGCUACUGUCUAUGUUUGUGGUAGUGAACAUAAAAUCAUUGCCUUCAUUAGGUGAUGAAUAUGAACUUUUUAAGUCAUCUAUCUGGUGCCCUUAGAUGACCAGUUAGAUCACAUUCCAUGUCUUAUGAAAAGAUGAUGUUCUUGAGUCUUGACUCUGGUGGCACAAGCCGAUUUUCCAAAGUUAUUCUGCAGGUGGUGGAUUCAGUAACCAUUAGUUGGCAUUCUCCCUUACAAACCUCAGGUAACCCCUGUGUACACACCAAGCUGAUGCACUAAAUGAGUAACACACAAUGUUUUAUAGACCCAAUAAAAACUGUUUAAAUGUCUGGUAGUGCUUUACAAAUAUCUUCAUCCCAGAUUUUUCAAAUCUCCCCUGAAAUCUAUGCAGCCAAAUGUGCAUUUGUUCUGUAACUGAUGGUCUCCUGGAUAUCAGUUUGAUCAAGUAUAAGACAGGGUUUUUGUGUGUGUGGUGCCAAUUACUAAGUACAUGAAGACACACAUCUUGAAUAAUUACCUAUAAGAGGAUUGAAAGGAUAAAUAUCUAUUUAAGAAAUAUCUAAUACAACUAUAGUCGCUGCUCUCAUUUCUUCAUAUUCCUGUGAAUUUUUGUUCCGUUCCUUAUUCUUAGAGUGCAAAGUGAUCAUUUUAGGAAUGAAUAUCAUACAAAGUAAACACAGGGAACAGAAAGCUUAAUGCAUUCAUUACUCAUUCCUUUCCAUCAAUACUCUGAACACCUACAGAGUGUUCUAGGCUCGCUGGGGAAACAAGAAUCAAUAAAUCCCAUUUUCUCCGUACUGAUCUUAUGAUUAGUAGAAAAUCAACUGAAAUAAUCUCAUAUUGAUUUCUCCCUCCUGUGAGUCCCUAUGCCAUUGUGGAAGGAGUUGGAGGGAUUUAUCACAGUCCAUAUUACUUCAGAGUUUAUGGUAUUUCUUUAUGCUCCUUGGUAGAUGUUGAAUGCCUGGAGGCAAGCUUGUUUUCCCUACCUUUAUAACCCUGGUUAUCGUUGUACUUGUUAGCCUGUGCUAUGUGCUUAAAACAUGUUUUUAAAUAAAAGUGUCAAUGGUUUUGCCAUUAAUAAUAUAUGAAACUCUUAGCUCGUAAUUUAAUAUCUUUGGGACCUGUUUUCUCAUCUGCAAAGACAACAUACUGUAUCUCAGGAAGUUAUCAUAUCAGAAUUAGAUGCAUUAAAUUUUGCAAACUGAGAAGCUAAGCAUUAUACCAAGGUACAGACUCAUUCUUAUUAAAACUGAAUAUGUGCUUUCAUUUAAAGAUGAACUGCUGUUUAACUAUGGCUGGUAGUUAUGUUUGGGGGAUUCUGUGGGAUGCUACUAUUAGUGGAGAACUCAACAACCAUAUGGCCCCGAAACUUUUCCUUCCUUAUAGUGCUCAAUUCUUAAACACAAAAUGUAAGAAUAGGAUUUCAUGAAGCAUUCUAACUCCAGUUUAUUGUUUAAAACUUUUUACCUCUAUCUUGUCCAUAAAUGUGAAUUAUUGUGGCAGAUGGUUUCAUUCAGUGUAUGAUAAAUUCUGUAUGUACUUCAGGAAGGAAACUAUAAGGUCUAUUUCUGGCUUGUCUUGAGGACGAAAUAAAUGGUCUAUGCAGUCGUUUCCAUCUCUGGCUUUAGUGAUUAAUGCAUCCUAGAGGACCAACUUUCUUUUAGCUGUAAUGCCAGUUUCCUUAUUUCAUCCCUGGAGCUUUAGGCAGAAAGGGAAAUGAAAAGCCAUCAGCUUUUAUUUUAGGUGACUUUUUUCCUACUCCUGUUUGGGUUUUCACUUUUUUUUUUUUUAAAUUAUUCUGCAGUUAGUUUUUCUUGUUGAUAUCUAGGAGGACACCUGGAGUGACUGAGAUAGUGUAGGGCUGUAUCUGAUGUUUGGAGGUAGAACAUAUGCUCAGGCGGCUGACAGGCCAUGGCAGUUCUAGUGCCAAAAGUGCUGUUCAUCUCAUCACAUUGCUCACUCACAGUCUCCAGGAAGCUUGCAGCCAGUCAGGUUUCCGUGUUUGUGACAGAAUUUUUCUUUUUCUCUUUGGAAUAGUCUCCCUCUGUCGUCCAGGCUGGAGUGCAGUGGUGCAGUCUCGGCUCCUGACAGUUCUUGACUUCCAGUGUUGUUAGGGACAGUAGAUGAGCAUUUUGUGAAACAGUAUGAGUGAGAAUCAAAAGCAGUUUGAUCUAAUUUUCUCUUGGAUUUAGAACUUCUAAUUCAGUUUUAUUUUUGCUGAUUUUCUAAAGAGAUAGUUUUCAUCACCAGUGUGGAUUAGCUUGUCAUUAGAUCUUGGAGAUCUUUGAGAUCAGUGGAGAAGUUUCAACUUAGGAGAGUGGCUUUAUUACAAAAAUAAAUGUUGGUAAUGGCUUAUCGAUAUUAUUAUAUGAACACAUUUGUGAUGCUUCCAUUGCUAUAGAAAUAUUCUGUUGUCUCAUUUUAAAGAAACUAUUUUUACUUAACAAAUAUUGACUGUCUGCAAUAUGUGACACAGAGAUGCAAAAAAUAUUUUAGACACAACAUCCUUAGUUAAAUUGUUUAUAAAUUGACUUUAUUGAAAUGUCUUACCAUAUAAUCAUCAACAUUCAUAUCUCAAAUACUAAUAUGUAUCAGUAAUUUUAAAUGACCUUUAAAAUCAUACUGAUCAGUAAUUGUAUAAAGAAAACUGAAUCAUGCUAAUCAGGUGAAUAGAUGUGACAGAUUGAGGUGUUGACAGCAAGGAAGAAGAAUUGAUACAGGUAACGAAGUCAAACUGUUUGCUAAAAUCUGAGCCACGGUAUCUUAUUUUUUUCUGCAGACUCUAUCCAAAGCAGUGAUUCUUCCCUAGCGUCCAUAUUUUUCUUGAAGCCUAGGGGUCUAUGAAGCCCAUAAAAUUGUGUGGAUGUGGUACAUCUUUCUGGGGAGAAAUCUAGAGCUUAUACUAGAUUCUAAAAGUAAUGAUCCAGUGAUGUUAAGAAUCAUUACUAUAUAUUUUUACUUAUAAUUUGCUUCUCCUUUUAGGGACGAUGGUGUCCAAAUUCUAGAAUUAAGUUGAAAAGGCAUAAAUUAUACACCUUAAUGCUCUCCUUUCCAGCUGUAUGAUCUCAAGUUAUCCAACCACAAUGUUUCUAUACAUGAAAUGGGCAGAUACUCCCUUCACUCCUACGUGUCAAAUGAGAUGGGCUACGUGAUUGGCCAGAAUAAGCCAUAAAAUAUUUGCAGACAUAAAGAUUAUUACUAUUGUUUGAGCUUCUGCAUCUGCCAAUCCAUCAUACUUUUUUUGUGUUAGUUGAAAAUUUUAUUCUAUUACUACAUAAAUGUAUUUUUAAAAAUCUUUCCAUCAUUGCCAAUAUAGUUUCUUAAAGAAUGAUGAUUCAAUUUUUCCAUGCCUUUGGAGGCCUUUGUUGUUAAAUGAAUCAUUGUAAGUAUCUGACAUGCCAUGGCUGCUGCCUGGUUUACAUCACAGUGGAGGAGGAGGGCAUCCAUCGUUCAGGGGCAGAGCAAAGGAUGUCCUUGGUCUUUGUCAGAUUCUACAGAGGAAACUUGGGGGAACUAAUUCUGUUUCCUUUGAAUUGAAGCCAAAGGUGGACUGAGUGAGUGAGAUUGAGAAGGAAAUAGAAAAGUGGAAAUGAAUGUGAUUUGACAUUAGAUUAUAAGUUUUAAUUUCUGUCUUGCCAUCAUACAAUCUUAAGCAAGUCAUAAUUCCUUUAAGAUUCAAUGUUAAUUGUUUUUAAAAUGGAGAUGUAAAAGAAUGAUCUCACAAGAUUAUGUUAAGCAUGAAAUUAUCCUAUGUGUGGGAUGAAGGUUGUCAACUAUAAAGUGAUAUACCAGUUUAGAUGUUAUUAAUUGUUAUGGAAUGGUCAUUUGCACAAAAUUCCAAAGUGCAAAAUAAUUUGAUCACUCCCUUGUACUUCUUUUUGAUGGGCUUUUAAUACUCUUGUAUUUAUUCACACAAGUAUGUAGUCUAUAUGUAUGACUUACUGUUUCUUUGUAGACACAAGAAAUAAACGUGUGGAAUGCAUCAUUAGUUAAGAGCAAAAUUCUUAAAUGAGAAAUUAGAGUCUAACUGAAAAAUGAGAAAGUUUGAAAGAAAAGGAAGAGUCGUGUGGUUACUAAAAAAAAGAGACAAACUGUGACUUCAUUUUAGAGAAUAACAGAAGUGGGAAGGAGAUGGUGUUGGCAACUGGGACUUUUAGAAGAAAAUUUCAUUCUGAAUAU